rnacentral:rRNA from 1 species
AAACCAGCACCUCAAGUGGUCAGGAGGAUUAUUGGGCCUAAAGCAUCCGUAGCUUGCUGCAUAAGUUUUCGGUUAAAUCCAUACGCUCAACGUAUGGGCUGCCGGGAAUACUGUGCAGCUAGGGAGUGGGAGAGGUAGACGGUACUCGGUAGGAAGGGGUAAAAUCCUUUGAUCUAUCGAUGACCACCUGUGGCGAAGGCGGUCUACCAGAACACGUCCGACAGUGAGGGAUGAAAGCUGGGGGAGCAAACCGGAUUAGAUACCCGAGUAGUCC